CUGAUCUCUUGAAAAUUAAAGAAUGAUCUUCAUUAUUAAGUUUAAGUCUCGGUGUAAUAUCUUUCGGUUAAUUUACAGAUGAAUCGGCAAUCAAGUGUUUGCUAAAAAUGGUCUAGUUAUAUCAUUAAAUUUUUAUUUUGUGCAAAUCAACACAUCAUAAAUAUAACAAUGCCAAACAAUAGCAUCGAUGAGUUGUCGCAGUACCGCAGCCAAGUCGUCCUGGUAAAGAGGGCGUCUAAAAACUUUUGUAACCCAUAACCCCCGCGAGUUAAAGGGCUUGCCAAUGUCUCUGAUAUUGCGAUUCAAUGUGUCCAAGCAAUGUGAUGGACACAUCAAAAGCAACUGUAAAGCUUCCUGGGUCUGGUUGGAUACUUUCGAAGGUUUACCCAGUACCUUUCAGUCAUUUAUUAGACUUUGAUUACACAGAAACCUCGAUCUCGAGUUGGAGAUCCUGUUAGUCGUAGAAGCAUUCCGAAAGUUCCGAGUACAAAUGGGAAAUCUGCACAACCCAGAUAGACACGGCUAGUGAUCCUGAUAAAGAAUAUAUAUUUACUUUACAUGUUAACAAUUUUUUAGCGAACUUUGUAUACCACUUUUACUCUAAAAGAAAACUA
ensembl:ncRNA lncRNA:CR41601 long non-coding RNA:CR41601